UGAGCAUCAAUGAUGAGUAUAAUCCAUUGUUAUCCUUGCACUUUGAUUACUAGUGAAGAAACUUAUGGGGAAAGUUCUCUGAGUUGCUC